UAGGGAAUCUUCCGCAAUGGGCGAAAGCCUGACGGGGCAACGCCGCGUGAGUGAUGAAGGUCUUCGGAUCGUAAAACUCUGUUAUUAGGGAAGAACAUAUGUGUAAGUAACUGUGCACAUCUUGACGGUACCUAAUCAGAAAGCCACGGCUAACUACGCGCCAGCAGCCGCGGUAAUACGUAGGUGGCAAGCGUUAUCCGGAAUUAUUGGGCGUAAAGCGCGCGUAGGCGGUUUUUAAGUCUGAUGUGAAAGCCCACGGCUCAACCGUGGAGGGUCAUUGGAAACUGGAAAACUUGAGUGCAGAAGAGGAAAGUGGAAUUCCAUGUGUAGCGGUGAAAUGCGCAGAGAUAUGGAGGAACACCAGUGGCGAAGGCGACUUUCUGGUCUGUAACUGACGCUGAUGUGCGAAAGCGUGGGGAUCAAACAGGAUUAGAUACCCUGGUAGUCCACGCCGUAAACGAUGAGUGCUAAGUGUUAGGGGGUUUCCGCCCCUUAGUGCUGCAGCUAACGCAUUAAGCACUCCGCCUGGGGAGUACGGCCGCAAGGUUA
rnacentral:rRNA from 1 species